rnacentral:rRNA from 1 species
UACGUAGGGGGCAAGCGUUGUUCGGAAUUACUGGGCGUAAAGGGCGCGUAGGCGGCCUGCUAAGUCGAACGUGAAAUCCCCGGGCUCAACCCGGGAACUGCGUCCGAUACUGGUGGGCUUGAAUCCGGGAGAGGGAUGUGGAAUUCCAGGUGUAGCGGUGAAAUGCGUAGAUAUCUGGAGGAACACCGGUGGCGAAGGCGGCAUCCUGGACCGGUAUUGACGCUGAGGCGCGAAAGCCAGGGGAGCAAACGGG